rnacentral:rRNA from 1 species
UAGGGAAUCUUGGACAAUGGGCGAAAGCCUGAUCCAGCCAUGCCGCGUGAGUGAUGAAGGCCUUAGGGUUGUAAAGCUCUUUUACCCGGGAUGAUAAUGACAGUACCGGGAGAAUAAGCUCCGGCUAACUCCGUGCCAGCAGCCGCGGUAAUACGGAGGGAGCUAGCGUUGUUCGGAAUUACUGGGCGUAAAGCGCGCGUAGGCGGUUUUUUAAGUCAGAGGUGAAAGCCCAGUGCUCAACACUGGAACUGCCUUUGAAACUGGAAAACUUGAAUCUUGGAGAGGUCAGUGGAAUUCCGAGUGUAGAGGUGAAAUUCGUAGAUAUUCGGAAGAACACCAGUGGCGAAGGCGACUGACUGGACAAGUAUUGACGCUGAGGUGCGAAAGCGUGGGGAGCAAACA